rnacentral:rRNA from 1 species
GACGAACGCUGGCGGCGUGCCUAAUACAUGCAAGUUGAGCGCUGAAGGUUGGUACUUGUACCAACUGGAUGAGCAGCGAACGGGUGAGUAACGCGUGGGGAAUCUGCCUUUGAGCGGGGGACAACAUUUGGAAACGAAUGCUAAUACCGCAUAAAAACUUUAAACACAAGUUUUAAGUUUGAAAGAUGCAAUUGCAUCACUCAAAGAUGAUCCCGCGUUGUAUUAGCUAGUUGGUGAGGUAAAGGCCCGCCAAGGCGAUGAUACAUAGCCGACCUGAGAGGGUGAUCGGCCACAUUGGGACUGAGACACGGCCCAAACUCCUACGGGAGGCAGCAGUAGGGAAUCUUCGGCAAUGGACGAAAGUCUGACCGAGCAACGCCGCGUGAGUGAAGAAGGUUUUCGGAUCGUAAAACUCUGUUGGUAGAGAAGAACGUUGGUGAGAGUGGAAAGCUCAUCAAGUGACGGUAACUACCCAGAAAGGGACGGCUAACUACAUG